rnacentral:rRNA from 1 species
UACGAAGGGGGCUAGCGUUGCUCGGAAUUACUGGGCGUAAAGCGCACGUAGGCGGUCUUUUAAGUCGGGGGUGAAAUCCUGGAGCUCAACUCCAGAACUGCCUUCGAUACUGGAAGACUCGAGUCCGGGAGAGGUGAGUGGAACUGCGAGUGUAGAGGUGAAAUUCGUAGAUAUUCGCAAGAACACCAGUGGCGAAGGCGGCUCACUGGCCCGGUACUGACGCUGAGGUGCGAAAGCGUGGGGAGCAACAGG